AGCGAACGCUGGCGGCAGGCUUAACACAUGCAAGUCGAGCGCCCCGCAAGGGGAGCGGCAGACGGGUGAGUAACGCGUGGGAAUCUACCCAUCCCUACGGAAUAGCUCCGGGAAACUGGAAUUAAUACCGUAUACGCCCUACGGGGGAAAGAUUUAUCGGGGAUGGAUGAGCCCGCGUUGGAUUAGCUAGUUGGUGGGGUAAAGGCCUACCAAGGCGACGAUCCAUAGCUGGUCUGAGAGGAUGAUCAGCCACAUUGGGACUGAGACACGGCCCAAACUCCUACGGGAGGCAGCAGUGGGGAAUAUUGGACAAUGGGGGCAACCCUGAUCCAGCCAUGCCGCGUGAGUGAUGAAGGCCUUAGGGUUGUAAAGCUCUUUCACCGGGGAAGAUAAUGACGGUACCCGGAGAAGAAGCCCCGGCUAACUUCGUGCCAGCAGCCGCCGUAACAC
rnacentral:rRNA from 1 species